rnacentral:rRNA from 1 species
AUUGAACGCUGGCGGCAGGCCUAACACAUGCAAGUCGAACGAGUGGCGGACGGGUGAGUAAUGUCUGGGACACUGCCUGAUGGAGGGGGAUAACUACUGGAAACGGUAGCUAAUACCGCAUACCAUCGGAUGUGCCCAGAUGGGAUUGGCUUGUUGGUGGGGUAACGGCUCACCAAGGCGACGAUCCCUAGCUGGUCUGAGAGGAUGACCCGGCACAAUGGGACAUAUACACGGUCCAAGCUCCUACGUGAGGGAGCAGUGGGGAAUAUUGCACAAUGGGCGCAAGCCUGAUGCAGCCAGGCCGCGUGUAUGAAGAAGGCCUUCGGGUUGUAAAGUACUUUCAGCGGGGAGGCGUUACCCGCAGAAGAAGCACCGGCUAACUCCGUGCCAGCAGCCGCGGUAAUAC